ensembl:snRNA U6 U6 spliceosomal RNA
GUGCUUGCUUUGGCAACACUUAUAUUAAAACUGGAAGAUUAGCACGGCCUCUGGGCAAGGAUGACAUGUAAAUUCAUGAAGCAUUCCGUAUUUUA